UAAAAACUCAAAAAUUGACCAGUGGUCCCUCAGGUGUGCACUGGUGGUUCCUACAGUGCAGCAGGACGUGCAAAUAUGCAACCAGACUCGGGUAAUCGUUUACAAGGCCCUGUAAACNAUUACCAUUCUGUUUUUUCCACCAAAAACUUCAGCAACUGAAAGUUAGGUGAUGAUUGAAGCAUGGGUGCUCCCCUAAUCCAUCAUGGGGUGUGAUACAAAUCAGCUACACACAUAAUCAGUAUUUGGAGUCAAAACCCAGUGGUCUUGGGCAUAAAAACUUAAAAAUUGACCAGUGGUCCCUCAGGUGUGCACUGGUGGUUCCUACAGUGCAGCAGGACGUGCAAAUAUGCAACCAGACACAGGUAAUCGUUUACAAGGCCCUGUAAACGAUUACCAUGCUGUUUUUUCCACCAAAAACUUCAGCAAUUGAAAGUUAGGUGAUGUUUGAAGCAUGGGUGCUCCCCUAAUCCAUCAUUGGGUGUGAUACAAAUCAC
rnacentral:lncRNA from 1 species